rnacentral:tRNA from 1 species
GAGGGUAUAGUUCAGUGGUAGGGUGCAUGCUUAGUAUGCAUGAGGUCCUGGGUUCAAUCUCCAGUAACUCCA